rnacentral:rRNA from 1 species
AUUGAACGCUGGCGGCAGGCUUAACACAUGCAAGUCGAGCGGAGCGAGGGUGCUUGCACCUUAGCUUAGCGGCGGACGGGUGAGUAAUGCUUAGGAAUCUACCUAUUAGUGGGGGACAACAUUCCGAAAGGAAUGCUAAUACCGCAUACGCCCUACGGGGGAAAGCAGGGGAUCUUCGGACCUUGCGCUAAUAGAUGAGCCUAAGUCGGAUCAGCUAGUUGGUGGGGUAACGGCCUACCAAGGCUCCGAUCGGUAUCCGGCCUGAGAGGGCGGACGGACACACUGGAACUGAGACACGGUCCAGACUCCUACGGGAGGCAGCAGUGGGGAAUUGUUCACAAUGGGCGCAAGCCUGAUGACGCAACGCCGCGUGGAGGAUGAAGACUUUCGGGUCGUAAACUCCUUUCGACCGAGAUGAAUUCCCGUCGGCCUAACAUGCCGGCGGGGUGACAGUAUCGAGGGAAGAAACCCCGGCUAACUCUGUGCCAGCAGCCGCAGUAAAAC